rnacentral:rRNA from 1 species
UGCAAGUCGAACGCUGACUUUAAGGUAGCAAUAUUUUGAGGUUGGAGUGGCGCAAGGGUGUGUAACACGUGGGCAAUCUGCCGUGAAGUUUGGGAUAACUUGCUGAAAGGCGAGCUAAUACCGGAUGUGAAAUUUGGGGGGAAUCCUUCAAAUUUUAAAGUUGGGGACCGCAAGGCCUGACGCUAUACGAUGAGCCCGCGGCCUAUCAGCUAGUUGGUAAGGUAAAAGCUUACCAAGGCUAAGACGGGUAGCUGGUCUGAGAGGACGACCAGCCACACUGGAACUGAGACACGGUCCAGACACCUACGGGUGGCAGCAGUCGAGAAUUUUUCUCAAUGGGCGAAAGCCUGAAGGAGCGACGCCGCGUGGGGGAUGAAUGGCUUCGGCCCGUAAACCCCUGUCAUUCGGGAUCAAUGCUUGCUUCCAAACACGAAGUAAGUUGAUAGUACCGGAAGAGGAAGGGACGGCUAACUCUGUGCCAGCAGCCGCGGUAAUACAGAGGUCCCAAGCGUUGUUCGGAUUUACUGGGCGUAAAGGGUGCGUAGGUGGUUUGAUAAGUCUGAUGUGAAAUCUCCGGGCUUAACCCGGAAAUGGCAUUGGAUACUAUCGAGCUAGAGGGUUGGAGGGGGGACUGGAAUACUUGGUGUAGCAGUGAAAUGCGUAGAUAUCAAGUGGAACACCAGUGGCGAAGGCGAGUCCCUGGACAACUCCUGACACUGAGGCACGAAAGCUAGGGGAGCAAACAGGAUUAGAUACCCUGGUAGUCCUAGCUGUAAACGGUGCACGUUUGCUGU